UGUCUUGGGCUUCACGCAUGCUACAAUGGCCGGUACAAAGGGUUGCGAAGCCGUGAGGUGGAGCGAAUCCCAAAAAACCGGUCUCAGUUCGGAUUGGGGUCUGCAACUCGACCCCAUGAAGUCGGAGUCGCUAGUAACUCGCAGAUCAGCAACCGCUGCGGUGAAUACGUUCCCGGGCCUU
rnacentral:rRNA from 1 species